GACGAACGCUGGCGGCGUGCUUAACACAUGCAAGUCGAACGGAAAGGCCCUGCUUUUGUGGGGUGCUCGAGUGGCGAACGGGUGAGUAACACGUGAGUAACCUGCCCUUGACUUUGGGAUAACUUCAGGAAACUGGGGCUAAUACCGGAUAGGAGCUCCUGCUGCAUGGUGGGGGUUGGAAAGUUUCGGCGGUUGGGGAUGGACUCGCGGCUUAUCAGCUUGUUGGUGGGGUAGUGGCUUACCAAGGCUUUGACGGGUAGCCGGCCUGAGAGGGUGACCGGCCACAUUGGGACUGAGAUGCGGCCCAGACUCCUACGGGAGGCAGCAGUGGGGAAUAUUGCACAAUGGGCGGAAGCCUGAUGCAGCAACGCCGCGUGCGGGAUGACGGCCGUCGGGUUGUAAACCGCUUGCGCCUGUGACGAAGCGUGAGUGACGGUAAUGGGUAAAGAAGCACCGGCUAACUACGUG
rnacentral:rRNA from 1 species